rnacentral:rRNA from 1 species
CCCGCGACAAGCGGUGGAGUAUGUGGUUUAAUUCGAAGCAACGCGAAGAACCUUACCAGGUCUUGACAUGGUGUUUAAGGCCCUAGAGAUAGGGAGAUAAUAAGCACACACAGGUGGUGCAUGGUUGUCGUCAGCUCGUGUCGUGAGAUGUUGGGUUAAGUCCCGCAACGAGCGCAACCCUUGUCUUUAGUUACCAUCAUUCAGUUGGGGACUCUAGAGAGACUGCCGGUGAUAAACCGGAGGAAGGUGGGGAUGACGUCAAAUCAUCAUGCCCCUUAUGACCUGGGCUACACACGUACUACAAUGGCGCAUACAACGAGCUGCGAGAUGGUGACAUCAAGCGAAUCUCUUAAAAUGCGUCUCAGUUCAGAUUGGAGUCUGCAACUCGACUCCAUGAAGUCGGAAUCGCUAGUAAUCGCGGAUCAGCAUGCCGCGGUGAAUACGUUCUCGGGGUUU